rnacentral:rRNA from 1 species
CAGUCGUACCUUCGGGUAAUCAGCCUUUCGAGUGCGAUUCUGUGGAGUGUGAGGAGCUUAACACCUUCAUGCUUUGCAUAUUUGUGCUCUUGGGUGUACUUGCCCGUGUGGUUGGUUAACAUCAAUUUUGGUUAUCAUAAAAUGAUUGGAGGAAUGUAGCUUCGAUCUCGUAUUGAAGUGUUAUAGCCUUCGGUAAAUGUGAUGAACGAGAUUGAGGAUUGCAACGGAUACCCUUCGGGGCUACCUGUCUGAUCUCUGAAAGUUGCUCUGGUGCCGAAAGCUCGCUUACGGUAUCAAAGUUGACGUUCAACAGGUUAGAACGGGUUAAA